CCACUAUACUAACGAGGACGGCGACGGGAGAUCUUCUUCCGCGCGCGCACCCAUAGCAUCUUUUCACCAGCCGACCGCAACGCUUUCCCGCUUUUGUGCUUCCUUGCUCUCUGGCGACUCGUCCCGCCGCCCCAAAGACGACGAGCCCCAGGCCCAGGCGGCUUUGACGUUACGGCACGCGCAGCCUUUCCCAAAACAACCUUUUCCCCGCCACAGGCUACCUACACACGCGCGCGGCGGCUUCGCGGCUAGGAGGGAAGCCAUGGGGAGACCGACAGAGAGAGACGCAGUCAGGCACGAGAAAAGGGAAGCUUUUAGCUUCCUACCAGCACAAUCGCCAUGUGCAGAGUCGGAAGGCAGAGACGGAGCCAUCCACAUGACAAUUACUAUUUCAUGGAGAGGAAAAAGGAAAAAAACCAAAUUGAUACAUUGAAAAAGUCUGAAAAAUACUAUAUUACUGUAACAGUUGUACAGUCUCCACCUCCAAAAAGAGUAUCUACAUUCUCCAAUACAUUCUUCUCUCCAUCACUCUAUUAUCUCCAGAAGAUCCAAUUCCAGUUUCAGCUCUUACCAGAGAAUACAAUCUACUUAAAUCCAAUAAACAUUUAUCAGCUGGCUACAUG
rnacentral:lncRNA from 1 species